rnacentral:pre_miRNA from 1 species
UUCUUGGACUGGCACUGGUGAGUUAAACUAAAUACAACCAGUACCUUUCUGAGAAGA